rnacentral:rRNA from 1 species
AUUGAACGCUGGCGGCAGGCCUAACACAUGCAAGUCGAGCGAGAGGCGGACGGGUGAGUAUUGUCCGGGAAACUGCCUGAUGGAGGGGGAUAACUACUGGAAACGGUAGCUAAUACCGCAUACCAUCAGAUGUGCCCAGAUGGGAUUAGCUGGUAGGUGGGGUAAAGGCUCACCGAGGCGACGCUCCCUAGCUGGUCUGAGAGGAUGCCCAGCCACACUGGAACUGAGACACGGCCCAGACUCCUACGGGAGGCAGCAGUGGGGAAUAUUGCACAAUGGGCGCAAGCCUGAUGCAGCCAUGCCGCGUGUAUGAAGAAGGCCUUCGGGUUGUAAAGUACUUUCAGCGGGGAGGCGUUACCCGCAGAAGAAGCACCGGCUAACUCCGUGCCAGCAGCCGCGGUAAUUC